rnacentral:misc_RNA from 1 species
AUUCCGUCAAAUUAUGCAGCAGAGUAAAAAAAUUUGAAACUUUUUCUAAAAAUCUGAAGAGUUGUCUUGUGAGACGGAAUUCCCAUCACUAUGUGACAUAUUUGUAAAAUGCCUAAGCAAUGAAACUUUAAUACUUAUGUAAUUAAAAUUCCAUCCCUAAUAAUAACGCGAGUAAAAAGAUAUUCAUCGCAGUAGUAGGCAUAUUUAAGUAUUCAAGGAAAUAUUUUUUUAUUUAACAUUGAUAUCUUGGUCACCUCUUUCAUUGAUAAAUUGUCUUAAGGACUGUGCAGUUAACCACAAUUGUCAAUUCCCUGGAAAUAAUGAAAGAGAGAAAAAGGAACAACAUAAGUUGUACUUGAACAUUUAAUAGUUUAGAGCGAGGUAGAAACAAUGGGCAUCUCUAUGCUCUGGACUACCCUAAGCGGGGAAAACGGACGCUGGCUCCAAAUUGUGGCUUUAAUUUUUAAUGUUCUACUUGUUUUUAAUUAUGCAAAAGAAUAUAAAGUAUAAACUCCAAAGUUUUGAUCGUCGUGACUUCGUAGAGGAUGGGAUGGAAGUGUUGUGUCCCACAUGCCGGCAGGGCUAUGACGGUACACCCAAGAACCCUGACAUCAGCUAUCACAGAUUCCCAGGCUUCAAUAUAUCCCCAAUAAAUAGCUUGAAUCCAAGUGGGAGAAGGCUUUUCCAAGAUCCAAAGUUGACAAGAAAAAGAAAGAGACUGUCACGACAAUAACAAAGAAUUCAAGAAUAUGCAGCCUGCAUUUCACAGAAUAUGACUCCAUUACCAAGUCAGUUGACAGGAGAAAUGGCAGUGGGCACCAACUCAACAGAAUGCUGAAACAAAGUUUUAGUACUGACUGUCCGAAUGACCGAUAGUCCUAAAGACUGAAUGGACCGUUCCUAAGACUCAACUGGACUGGACAGAAUAAAUAAGGACUGACAAAUGACUAACUUUAAGUGGCAGGGCAAGAAUUAUGAUGCAUGAAAAAAUUAAUUAAUAAUUUACAGGCGGUUGAUAGAUGAUGCUGUUCUAUCAGUGUGGUCAAAACUCACAGAUAACCUUUCCUUGCCACCGCCAAGAUCCAGCCAAACAUCAAAAAGGAGGGAAAGACUCCAACUCGAAAAUGAGCUUCUAGAGACCAUGGAGCUUGAUAUAUUCUUGGAAGAAAAUGUACAAACAGCACAAGAACUAUAUAAAAAGUUGUCACAAGAGACACUCCCAUCAGGAUAUAAUCUUAUUAAUUCACCUAAAUUGUCUCUUGUUAGGGUUGAAGCUACUGAGGACAAGGGCCUUGAAAUCGAAGACAAACUCACCUUCAAAGGUUUUCAAGGACAUCAUAAGAUCAGCAACAGUGUGGUUUCCCAUUAUCUAUGCUCAAAAUUACGGGAUAAGAUCAAAUCUGUAACUGAAGUAAUCAACAUAGCUGCAUAUCUUGGAUCGAAGGAGCAGUUGAGAACUAUGAAGUCAUCAUGAACCUCUUGCACAGGAUACUGGAAUCCCCAGAAUUAGAGACAGCUCAAUUAACAAGGCUACCUUUUAUCACAAAACAGAAAUCUUGAAUUAUUCUUGAACUUUAUCAAAUUAAAAUAUACUUAUAAUUUCCAAUAAAAUUUAUCUUUGUUGAUGAAAAA